CCGCGUGAAGGAUGAAAUCCCUCGGGAUGUAAACUUCGCAAGAAUGGGAAGAAUCAGUAGGGGUUAAUACCCCCUAUGAUGACGGUACCAUUUGUAAGCUCCGGCUAACUCCGUGCCAGCAGCCGCGGUAAUACGGGGGGAGCAAGCGUUGUUCGGAUUUACUGGGCGUAAAGGGCGCGUAGGCGGUCAGCACAAGUCAGUUGUGAAAUCUCCGGGCUUAACUCGGGAAGGUCAACUGAUACUGUGCGACUAGAGUGCGGAAGGGGCAACUGGAAUCCUCGGUGUAGCGGUGAAAUGCGUAGAUAUCGAGAGGAACACCUGCGGCGAAGGCGGGUUGCUGGGGUGACACUGACGCUGAGGCGCGAAAGCUAGGGGAGCGAACGGGAUUAGAUACCCCGGUAGUCCUAGCCUUAAACGAUGAAUGCUUGGUGUCUGGGGUUAUAAGGUCCCCGGGUGCCGUCGCUAACGCUUUAAGCAUUCCGCCUGGGGAGUACGGUCGCAAGACUGAAACUCAAAGGAAUUGACGG
rnacentral:rRNA from 1 species